AAUCCCUAAAACAUGUCUCAGUUCGGACUGGGGUCUGCAACCCGACCCCACGAAGCUGGAUUCGCUAGUAAUCGCGCAUCAGCCAUGGCGCGGUGAAUACGUUCCCGGGCCUUGUACACACCGCCCGUCAAGCCAUGAAAGCCGGGGGCGCCUGAAGUCCGUAACCGCAAGGAUCGGCCUAGGGUGAAACCGGUGAUUGGGGCUAAGUCGUAACAAGGUAGCCGUACCGGAAGGUGCGGCUGGAACACCUCCUUU
rnacentral:rRNA from 1 species